UACGUAGGGGGCAAGCGUUGUCCGGAUUUAUUGGGCGUAAAGAGCGUGUAGGCGGCUAUGCAGGUCCGUUGUGAAAACUCGAGGCUCAACCUCGAGACGCCGAUGGAAACCGUAUGGCUAGAGUCCGGAAGAGGAGAGCGGAAUUCCUGGUGUAGCGGUGAAAUGCGUAGAUAUCUGGAGGAACACCGGUGGCGAAGGCGGCAUCCUGGACCGGUAUUGACGCUGAGGCGCGAAAGCUAGGGGAGCAAACGGG
rnacentral:rRNA from 1 species